UACGUAGGGGGCAAGCGUUGUUCGGAAUUACUGGGCGUAAAGGGCGCGUAGGCGGCCGCGUAAGUCCGGGGUGAAAUCCCCCAGCCCAACUGGGGAAGUGCCUUGGAUACUGCGUGGCUCGAGCGGGGUAGGGGCAUGUGGAACUUCCGGUGGAGCGGUGAAAUGCGUAGAUAUCAGGAGGAACACCAGUGGCGAAGGCGCCGCUCUGGGCCGUGACUGACGCUGAGGAGCGAAAGCGUGGGUAGCAAACAGG
rnacentral:rRNA from 1 species